rnacentral:rRNA from 1 species
AGGGUUUGAUCCUGGCUCAGAUUGAACGCUGGCGGCAUGCCUAACACAUGCAAGUCGAACGGAAACGAUGGAAGCUUGCUUCCAGGCGUCGAGUGGCGGACGGGUGAGUAAUACUUAGGAAUCUGCCCAUUAGUGGGGGACAACUCGGGGAAACUCGAGCUAAUACCGCAUACGCCCUACGGGGGAAAGCGGGGGAUCUUCGGACCUCGCGCUAAUGGAUGAGCCUAAGUCGGAUUAGCUUGUUGGUGAGGUAAAGGCUCACCAAGGCGACGAUCCGUAGCUGGUCUGAGAGGACGAUCAGCCACACUGGGACUGAGACACGGCCCAGACUCCUACGGGAGGCAGCAGUGGGGAAUAUUGGACAAUGGGCGCAAGCCUGAUCCAGCAAUGCCGCGUGUGUGAAGAAGGCCUGCGGGUUGUAAAGCACUUUCAGUAGAGAAGAAAAGCCUACGGUUAAUAACCGUGAGUCUUGACGUUACCUACAGAAGAAGCUCCGGCUAACUCCGUGCCAGCAGCCGCGGUAAUACGGAGGGAGCGAGCGUUAAUCGGAAUUACUGGGCGUAAAGCGCGCGUAGGCGGUUUUGUAAGUCGGAUGUGAAAGCCCUGGGCUCAACCUGGGAAUGGCAUUCGAUACUGCAGAACUAGAGUAUGGUAGAGGGAAGUGGAAUUUCCGGUGUAGCGGUGAAAUGCGUAGAUAUCGGAAGGAACACCAGUGGCGAAGGCGACUUCCU